ACUGGCAGCCAUAGCACCUGCAGUUCAGACUGGAUAAUCCACCUGAAGCUAAGCAGGGUUGGGCCUGGUCAGAACUUGGAUGGGAGACUGGAAGAGGUGUUGGUGUGGCCAGUG
rnacentral:rRNA from 1 species